CAGUCGCCACGGUAACACGGAGGGUGCAAGCGUUAAUCGGAAUUACUGGGCGUAAAGCGCACGCAGGCGGUCUGACAAGUCAGAUGUGAAAUCCCCGGGCUUAACCUGGGAACUGCAUUUGAAACUGUCAGGCUGGAGUCUUGUAGAGGGGGGUGGAAUUCCAGGUGUAGCGGUGAAAUGCGUAGAGAUCUGGAGGAAUACCGGUGGCGAAGGCGGCCCCCUGGACAAAGACUGACGCUCAGGUGCGAAAGCGUGGGGAGCAAACAGGAUUAGAUACCCGAGUAGUCCCUGUCUCUUAUAC
rnacentral:rRNA from 1 species